rnacentral:lncRNA from 1 species
UUUAGUAUUAUAUGUAUUAAAGAGUCGUUUGGUGUGAGGUAUAAUUAUAAUAAUUCAGAGAUAAAGUUCAUGAUUAUUUAUCCUGCGUUUAAUUAGAUGUAUUAGAUAGUAUCAAAAUUAUUUGUCGCACCAUUUAUACCACAGUGAUGAGAUAAGUUAUCACACAUACAUGUUAGUACAACUUAUUUUGUAAUAACUAAUCCCGGAAUAACUUGUUUCCAAACAACCCACCCCAAAGUGUGUAUAUAUACAUAUGUAUGUACAUGCAUGUGCGUAUAUUUUCGUGUUUUAU